UACGUAGGAGGCAAGCGUUGUCCGGAAUUACUGGGUGUAAAGCGCGUGUAGGCGGCAGGCCAAGUCUGUGGUGAAAUCGCUCGGCUCAACUGGGCGGGGUCCAUGGAAACUGGUCAGCUGGAGGACGGUAGAGGUGAGUGGAAUUCCCGGUGGAGCGGUGAAAUGCGUAGAUAUCGGGAGGAACGCCGGUGACGAAAGCGACUGUCUGGGGUGCCUGUGACGCUGAGGCGCGAAAGCCAGGGGAUCAAACGGG
rnacentral:rRNA from 1 species